rnacentral:rRNA from 1 species
CCCGGUGUCCACACCCAAGGGGCCACACCCGAUCCCAUUCCGAACUCGGCCGUUAAGCCCUUGGGGCCGAUGAUACUGCCUCACGGCGGGAAAGUAGGUCAGCGCCGGGC